UCUUAUACUAUCAUUGUUUUUCAGUAUCUAUGUUGGGCCUAAGUCAUUCCUCCGAGGACCUUUGGACGAUUCAAAAGCCAAUAAGACGAGACCACGGCUCUACUGUGAACUUUCUGAUUGUCCAGCGGAACUACUUCACCCCCCUGAAGAUUGUAACGUGAAUUCCACAUUGCCCUUCACUCUUCAGGUGUCUCAUUAGCCAGAUUGACCACUAA